rnacentral:rRNA from 1 species
AUUAAACGCUGGCGGCAUGCCUUACACAUGCAAGUCGAACGGCAGGCACGGGGGGCAACCUUGGUGGCGAGUGGCGAACGGGUGAGUAAAGCAUCGGAACGUGCCCGUGGAGUGGGGGAUAACGUAGCGAAAGUUACGCUAAUACCGCAUAUUCUGUGAGCAGGAAAGCAGGGGAUCGCAAGACCUUGCGCUCUGGGAGCGGCCGAUGUCGGAUUAGCUAGUUGGUGGGGUAAAGGCCUACCAAGGCGACGAUCCGUAGCGGGUCUGAGAGGAUGAUCCGCCACACUGGGACUGAGACACGGCCCAGACUCCUACGGGAGGCAGCAGUGGGGAAUUUUGGACAAUGGGCGAAAGCCUGAUCCAGCCAUGCCGCGUGAGUGAAGAAGGCCUUCGGGUUGUAAAGCUCUUUCGGUGGGGAAGAAAUUGCAUAGGCUAAUACCCUGUGUAGAUGACGGUACCUGGAGAAGAAGCACCGGCUAACUACGUG